UACGAAGGGGGCUAGCGUUGCUCGGAAUCACUGGGCGUAAAGCGCACGUAGGCGGCUUGUUAAGUCAGGGGUGAAAUCCUGGAGCUCAACUCCAGAACUGCCUUUGAUACUGGCGAGCUUGAGUCCGGGAGAGGGAUGCAGAAUUCCAGGUGUAGCGGUGAAAUGCGUAGAUAUCUGGAGGAAUACCGGUGGCGAAGGCGGCAUCCUGGACCGGCAUUGACGCUGAGGAGCGAAAGCCAGGGGAGCAAACGGG
rnacentral:rRNA from 1 species